UACGUAGGGGUCGAGCGUUGUCCGGAGUUACUGGGCGUAAAGCGCGCGCAGGUGGCUCAUUACGCCCGGCGUGAAAGCCCCCGGCUCAACCGGGGAAGGUCGUCGGGUACGGGUGAGCUUGAGGGUAUCAGGGGCUGGUGGAAUUCCCGGUGUAGUGGUGAAAUGCGUAGAGAUCGGGAGGAACACCCGUGGCGAAGGCGGCCAGCUGGGAUACACCUGACACUGAGGCGCGAAGGCGUGGGGAGCGAACGGG
rnacentral:rRNA from 1 species